rnacentral:rRNA from 1 species
UGGGGAAUUUUGCGCAAUGGACGAAAGUCCGACGCAGCAACGCCGCGUGGGUGAUGAAGGUCUUCGGACUGUAAAACCCUGUCGUCAGGGACGAAGGUGUGCAUGUUAAUAGCGUGUGCACUUGACGGUACCUGGAGAGGAAGCCCCGGCUAACUACGUGCCAGCAGCCGCGGUAAUACGUAGGGGGCAAGCGUUGUCCGGAUUUACUGGGUGUAAAGGGCGCGCAGGUGGGUCGGUAAGUCAGAGGUGAAAUCCUGCAGCUUAACUGCAGAACUGCCUUUGAUACUGCUGAUCUUGAGUACAGAAGAGAGAAGCGGAAUUCCAGGUGUAGUGGUGAAAUACGUAGAUAUCUGGAAGAACACCGGUGGCGAAGGCGGCUUCUUGGUCUGUUACUGACACUGAGGCGCGAAAGCGUGGGUAGCAAACAGG